CGUCCGGGUCGCGGAGCAUCGCCCGGCUGUUCACGCCGGGGCUGGUGCCCUUGGGGAACUCGCCGAUCGUCACGGCGCCGGUCGGC
rnacentral:tRNA from 1 species